rnacentral:rRNA from 1 species
GAUGAACGCUAGCUACAGGCUUAACACAUGCAAGUCGAGGGGAAACGACAUCGAAAGCUUGCUUUUGAUGGGCGUCGACCGGCGCACGGGUGAGUAACGCGUAUCCAACCUGCCCACCACUUGGGGAUAACCUUGCGAAAGUAAGACUAAUACCCAAUGACGUCUCUAGAAGACAUCUGAAAGAGAUUAAAGAUUUAUCGGUGAUGGAUGGGGAUGCGUCUGAUUAGCUUGUUGGCGGGGUAACGGCCCACCAAGGCGACGAUCAGUAGGGGUUCUGAGAGGAAGGUCCCCCACAUUGGAACUGAGACACGGUCCAAACUCCUACGGGAGGCAGCAGUGAGGAAUAUUGGUCAAGGGACGAGAGUCUGAACCAGCCAAGUAGCGUGCAGGAUGACGGCCCUAUGGGUUGUAAACUGCUUUUAUAAGGGAAUAAAGUGAGUCUCGUGAGACUUUUUGCAUGUACCUUAUGAAUAAGGACCGGCUAAUUCCGUG